rnacentral:rRNA from 1 species
GAUGAACGCUGGCGGCGUGCCUAAUACAUGCAAGUCGAGCGAACGGACGAGAAGCUUGCUUUUCUGAUGUUAGCGGCGGACGGGUGAGUAACACGUGGAUAACCUACCUAUAAGACUGGGAUAACUUCGGGAAACCGGAGCUAAUACCGGAUAAUAUUUUGAACCGCAUGGUUCAAAAGUGAAAGACGGUCUUGCUGUCACUUAUAGAUGGAUCCGCGCUGCAUUAGCUAGUUGGUAAGGUAACGGCUUACCAAGGCAACGAUGCAUAGCCGACCUGAGAGGGUGAUCGGCCACACUGGAACUGAGACACGGUCCAGACUCCUACGGGAGGCAGCAGUAGGGAAUCUUCCGCAAUGGGCGAAAGCCUGACGGAGCAACGCCGCGUGAGUGAUGAAGGUCUUCGGAUCGUAAAACUCUGUUAUUAGGGAAGAACAUAUGUGUAAGUAACUGUGCACAUCUUGACGGUACCUAAUCAGAAAGCCACGGCUAACUACGUGCCAGCAGCCGCGGUAAUACGUAGGUGGCAAGCGUUAUCCGGAAUUAUUGGGCGUAAAGCGCGCGUAGGCGGUUUUUUAAGUCUGAUGUGAAAGCCCACGGCUCAACCGUGGAGGGUCAUUGGAAACUGGAAAACUUGAGUGCAGAAGAGGAAAGUGGAAUUCCAUGUGUAGCGGUGAAAUGCGCAGAGAUGUGGAGGAACACCAGUGGCGAAGGCGACUUUCUGGUCUGUAACUGACGCUGAUGUGCGAAAGCGUGGGGAUCAAACAGGAUUAGAUACCCUGGUAGUCCACGCCGUAAACGAUGAGUGCUAAGUGUUAGGGGGUUUCCGCCCCUUAGUGCUGCAGCUAACGCAUUAAGCACUCCGCCUGGGGAGUACGACCGCAAGGUUGAAACUCAAAGGAAUUGACGGGGGCCCGCACAAGCGGUGGAGCAUGUGGUUUAAUUCGAAGCAACGCGAAGAACCUUACCAAAUCUUGACAUCCUUUGACAACUCUAGAGAUAGAGCCUUCCCCUUCGGGGGACAAAGUGACAGGUGGUGCAUGGUUAUCGUCAGCUCGUGUCGUGAGAUGUUGGGUUAAGUCCCGCAACGAGCGCAACCCUUAAGCUUAGUUGCCAUCAUUAAGUUGGGCACUCUAAGUUGACUGCCGGUGACAAACCGGAGGAAGGUGGGGAUGACGUCAAAUCAUCAUGCCCCUUAUGAUUUGGGCUACACACGUGCUACAAUGGACAAUACAAAGGGCAGCGAAACCGCGAGGUCAAGCAAAUCCCAUAAAGUUGUUCUCAGUUCGGAUUGUAGUCUGCAACUCGACUACAUGAAGCUGGAAUCGCUAGUAAUCGUAGAUCAGCAUGCUACGGUGAAUACGUUCCCGGGUCU